rnacentral:pre_miRNA from 1 species
UGAAACUUUUAAGUAGUAGUGCCGCAGGUUGUGAUUGAUUGAAAGACAACCUCUACACUGCUGCUUAGGAGAUUUA